rnacentral:rRNA from 1 species
AAUAGCUCACUGGUCGAGCGUCUUUGCGCGGAGAAUUUAACGGGGCUAAACCUGACACCGAAGCUUAGGCAGCAUGUUUACAUGCUGGGUAGGGGAGCGUUGUAUACGCGGUGAAACAGUAGCGCAAGCGGCUGCGGAGUGUAUAGAAGUGAGAAUGCCGGAAUGAGUAGCGCGAAUGCAGUGAGAAUCUGCAUGGCCGAAAGCCUCAGGUUUCUGGAGGAAGGUUCGUCCGCUCCAGGUCAGUCGGGAGCUAAGGUGAGGCCUAACGGCGUAGCCGAUGCACAGACGGUAGAGAUUCCGUCACCACCAAAAGAGUUAAACACAGGGACACAUAUGAAGUCUCGGAGCCGGGUGUUGGUUCCGGUAGCGAUCGAGGGAAGUUAGUACCGAAGUCCGGGAUGGAAGAUGGCGAGAAAAGCUGUGUGAGUUUCUGCGGUGCCCGUACCGCAAACCGACACAGGUAGGUAGGAAGAAGAUUCUAAGGCCAACGGGAGAAGGGUUGUUAAGGAACUCGGCAAAUUGACCCCGUAACUUCGGGAGAAGGGGUGCUGCAGCAAUGCAGCCGCAGAGAAUCGGCCCAAGCAACUGUUUACCAAAAACACAGGUUUGUGCUAAAUCGAAAGAUGACGUAUACGAGCUGACGCCUGCCCGGUGCUGGAAGGUUAAGAGGAGAUGUGCAAGCAUUGAAUCGAAGCCCCAGUGAACGGCGGCCGUAACAAUAACGGUCCUAAGGUAGCGAAAUUCCUUGUCAGGUAAGUUCUGACCCGCAUGAAAGGCGUAAUGAUUUGGGCACUGUCUCAACAGCCCGCCCGGCGAAAUUGUAGUACCGGUGAAGAUGCCGGUUACCCGCGACAAGACGGAAAGACCCCAUGGAGCUUUACUGUAGCCUAAUAUUGGGUUUCGAUGUUGCAUGCACAGGAUAGAUGGGACACUGGGAAGCAGGUGCUUUGGCGCUUGUGGAGUGGCCGUUGGGAUACCAUCCUUGCGAUAUUGGAAUUCUAACCUGCGCCUUUGAAUCAAGGCGGGGGACAUUGUUAGGUGGGCAGUUUGACUGGGGCGGUCGCCUCCUAAAGAGUAACGGAGGCGUUCAAAGGUUCGCUCAGCUUGAACGGAAAUCAAGCAAAAGAGUGCAAACGCAGAAGCGAGCCUAACUGCGAGACUGACGGGUCGAGCAGUAACGAAAGUUGGAGUUAGUGAUCCGGUGGUAUGUGAGUGGAAAUGCCAUCGCUCAACGGAUAAAAGUUACCCUGGGGAUAACAGGCUGAUCUCCCCCAAGAGUCCACAUCGACGGGGAGGUUUGGCACCUCGAUGUCGGCUCAUCGCAUCCUGGGGCUGUAUUCGGUCCCAAGGGUUUGGCUGUUCGCCAAUUAAAGCGGUACGCGAGCUGGGUUCAGAACGUCGUGAGACAGUUCGGUCCCUAUCUGUCGUGGGCGCAGGAUAUUUGAUGGGAGCUGUUCCUAGUACGAGAGGACCGGAGCGGACGUACCUCUGGCGCACCAGUUGUUCUGCCAAGAGCAUAGCUGGGCAACUACGUACGGAUCGGAUAAACGCUGAAAGCAUCUAAGCGUGAAGCCGACCCAAAGAUAAGAUAUCCCAUUGUUUCAAACAAGUAAGACCCCUUGAAGACUACAAGGUUGAUAGGCACGAUGUGUAAGUGGAGCGAUCCAUUCAGCAAGCGUGUACUAAUAGGUCGAGGGCUUGACC